CAAGAAGCCGAAAGGCUACUUAAAACCAUCGCGAACUUAUCCAAGUUGCUUCGGCGGCGCGGCUCCCCUCACGGGGGACCGCAAGCCCCCGCCUCUCAGGAGGUAAGGGGCAGCCGCCGGAGGUACGAAACUCUGUAUUAUAGUGGUAUCUCUGAGUAUAAAAACAAAUAAGUUA
rnacentral:misc_RNA from 1 species